rnacentral:rRNA from 1 species
AUUGAACGCUGGCGGCAGGCCUAACACAUGCCAGUCGAACGGUAACAGGAAGAAGCUUGCUUCUUUGCUGACGAGUGGCGGACGGGAGAGGAAUGUCUGGGAAACUGCCUGAUGGAGGGGGAUAACUACUGGAAACGGUAGCUAAUACCGCAUAACGUCGCAAGACCAAAAAGGGGGACCUUCUGGCCUCUUGCCAUCGGAUGUGCCCAGAUGGGAUUAGCUAGUAGGUGGGGUAACGGCUCACCUAGGCGACGAUACCUAGCUGGUCUGAGAGGAUGACCAGCCACACUGGAACUGAGACACGGUCCAGACUCCUACGGGAGGCAGCAGUGGGGAAUAUUGAACAAUGGGCGCAAGCCUGAUGCAGCCAUGCCGCGUGUAUGAAGAAGGCCUUCGGGUUGUAAAGUACUUUCAGCGGGGAGGAAGGGAGUAAAGUUAAUACCUUUGCUCAUUGACGUUACCCGCAGAAGAAGCACCGGCUAACUCCGUG